CAGUAGCCGCGGUAACACGGAGGGUGCGAGCGUUAAUCGGAACAACUGGGCGUAAAGGGCACGCAGGCGGUGACUUAAGUGAGGUGUGAAAGCCCCGGGCUUAACCUGGGAAUUGCAUUUCAUACUGGGUCGCUAGAGUACUUUAGGGAGGGGUAGAAUUCCACGUGUAGCGGUGAAAUGCGUAGAGAUGUGGAGGAAUACCGAAGGCGAAGGCAGCCCCUUGGGAAUGUACUGACGCUCAUGUGCGAAAGCGUGGGAGCAAACAGGAUUAGAUACCCCUGUAGUCCCUGUCUCUUAUACA
rnacentral:rRNA from 1 species